CAAGAUCAAGCCCCGACGGCCCUUGAAGAAAGUGUUCUUCGUUCUUCGUUCAUCUUUCUUUCAAGAUCAAGCCCCGACGGCCCUUGAAGAAAGCACCAUCGUUCAUCAUCCGUUCAUCCAAGAUCAAGCCCCAACGGCCCUUUGGAUCAACAAACGUCGACAAAUCCACACGCAUCCAACCGUUCUUCAAGAUUAAGCCCAAAAGCCCUUGAAGAUCCGUUCAUCACUGUUCUUCAAGAUCAAGCCCAAAAGCCCUUGAAGACCCGUUCAUCACCAUUCUUCAAGAUCAAGCCCCAACGACUCCUUGAAGAUCCGCUCAAAUCCACCUUCAAAGAUCAAGCCCACGGCCCUUUGAAGAAACUUCCAACAGUUCAUCCAAGAUCAAGCCUCGACGGCCCUUGGAUCAACGAAAUAUCCACAAAUCAACACCUUACGGAGAUCGAAUCAGAGGAUAAAUUUGAGAGAGAUUGUAACCCAAAAUCAUCAAACACAAAUAUUUGUUUGUGCAUGUUGUUCUUGUCUCUUUCGUUUCAGGAAUUUUCCGUGUUCACAAUUGUAUUUUACGUUUUUAUAUCCAUUUCACUCACUAAUCAUCCCUCAAUCUAUAAAUAAAAUUAGUGAAAAAAAAGAACAAAAAUCCGCUGUAGCAAAAUUGAACUUGGCUAAUUUUUUCAU
rnacentral:lncRNA from 1 species